AGUGAACGCUGGCGGUAGGCCUAACACAUGCAAGUCGAACGGCGGCACAGUAAGAGCUUGCUCCUACGGGUGGCGAGUGGCGGACGGGUGGGGAAUACAUCGGCAUCUACGUUUCCGUGGGGGACAACGUAGGGAAACAUACGCUACUACCGCAUACGGCCUACGGGUGAAAGCAGGGGUUCUUCGGACCUUUCGCGAUUGAAAAAGCCGAUGUCAGAUUAGCUAGUUGGGAGGGUAAAGACCCACCAAGCCGACGAUCCGUAGCUGGUCUGAGAGGAUGAUCAGCCACACUGGACCGGGACCCAGGUCAGAACUCCAAGGGAAGGAGGAAGUGGGGAUCAUUGGACAAUGGGCGCAAGCUGGCUCCAGACAUACCGGGUGGGGGAGGAAGGUCUUCGGGUUGUAAAGCCCUUUUGUUGGGAAAGAAAAGCAGCAGGUUAGAACGCCGCUGUUCUGACGGUACCCAAAGAAUAAGCACCGGCUAACUUCGUG
rnacentral:rRNA from 1 species